GACAGAGGGUGCAAACGUUGCUCGGAAUCACUGGGCGUAAAGGGCGUGUAGGCGGGAAGGAAAGUCGGGCGUGAAAUCCCUGGGCUCAACCCAGGAACUGCACUCGAAACUUCUUUUCUUGAGUGCCGGAGAGGAAAGCGGAAUUCCUGGUGUAGAGGUGAAAUUCGUAGAUAUCAGGAGGAACACCAGUGGCGAAGGCGG
rnacentral:rRNA from 1 species